rnacentral:rRNA from 1 species
AAUGCGUUAUGCAGCACUAAAGGGCGGAAACCCUCUAACACUUAGCACUCAUCGUUUACGGCGUGGACUACCAGGGUAUCUAAUCCUGUUUGCUCCCCACGCUUUCGCGCCUCAGUGUCAGUUACAGACCAGAAAGUCGCCUUCGCCACUGGUGUUCCUCCAAAUCUCUACGCAUUUCACCGCUACACUUGGAAUUCCACUUUCCUCUUCUGCACUCAAGUUCCCCAGUUUCCAAUGACCCUCCACGGUUGAGCCGUGGGCUUUCACAUCAGACUUAAGGAACCACCUGCGCGCGCUUUACGCCCAAUAAUUCCGGACAACGCUUGCCACCUACGUAUUACCGCGGCUGCUGGCACGUAGUUAGCCGUGGCUUUCUGGUUAGGUACCGUCAAGGUACCAGCAGUUACUCUGGUACUUGUUCUUCCCUAACAACAGAACUUUACGACCCGAAGCCUUCUUCGUUCACGCGGCGUUGCUCCGUCAGACUUUCGUCCAUUGCGGAAGAUUCCCUACUGCUGCCUCCCGUAGAAGUCUGGGCCGUGUCUCAGUCCCAGUGUGGCCGAUCACCCUCUCAGGUCGGCUACGCAUCGUCGCCUUGGUGAGCCAUUACCUCACCAACUAGCUAAUGCGCCGCGGGCCCAUCUAUAAGUGACAGCGUAAACCGUCUUUCCAUCUUCUCUCAUGCGAGAAAAGAACGUAUCCGGUAUUAGCUCCGGUUUCCGAAGUUAUCCCAGUCUUAUAGGCAGGUU